rnacentral:rRNA from 1 species
UACGUAGGGUGCGAGCGUUGUCCGGAAUUACUGGGCGUAAAGAGCUCGUAGGUGGUUUGUCGCGUUGUCCGUGAAAACUCACAACUCAAUUGUGGGCGUGCGGGCGAUACGGGCAGACUGGAGUACUGCAGGGGAGACUGGAAUUCCUGGUGUAGCGGUGGAAUGCGCAGAUAUCAGGAGGAACACCGGUGGCGAAGGCGGGUCUCUGGGACGGUACUGACGCUGAGGCACGAAAGCGUGGGGAGCAAACAGG